CAGCCGCCGCGGGAAUACGAGGGGGGCAAGCGUUGUUCGGAAUUAUUGGGCGUAAAGGGUGCGUAGGCGGCUUGACAAGUCUUGUGUGAAAUCUUCGGGCUCAACCCGAAGCCUGCACGAGAAACUACCGGGCUUGAGUAUUGGAGAGGUGAGUGGAAUUUCCGGUGUAGCGGUGAAAUGCGUAGAUAUCGGAAGGAACACCUGUGGCGAAAGCGGCUCACUGGACAAUAACUGACGCUGAUGCACGAAAGCUAGGGGAGCAAACAGGAUUAGAGACCCCCGUAGUCCCUGUCUCUUAUAC
rnacentral:rRNA from 1 species